rnacentral:rRNA from 1 species
GUGGGGAAUCUUAGACAAUGGGGGAAACCCUGAUCUAGCCAUGCCGCGUGAGCGAUGAAGGCCUUAGGGUUGUAAAGCUCUUUCAGCUGGGAAGAUAAUGACGGUACCAGCAGAAGAAACCCCGGCUAACUCCGUGCCAGCAGCCGCGGUAAUACGGAGGGGGCUAGCGUUGUUCGGAAUUACUGGGCGUAAAGCGCGCGUAGGCGGACCAGAAAGUUGGAGGUGAAAUCCCAGGGCUCAACCUUGGAACUGCCUUCAAAACUCCUGGUCUGGGGUUCGAGAGAGGUGAGUGGAAUUCCGAGUGUAGAGGUGAAAUUCGUAGAUAUUCGGGGGAACACCAGUGGCGAAGGCGGCUCACUGGCUCGAUACUGACGCUGAGGUGCGAAAGCGUGGGGAGCAAACAGGAUUAGAAACCCGGGUAGUCC